GCUGGAGUGCGUGCGGCCGCAGCUUCUCAGCGCCGGGUCGUCUCCGCCUCCGCCUCUGCCGCGGGGUGAGCGAAUGUGCGGUGGGAGCUCUUGCGGGGUCUUUCUACUUCAGGACGGAGGCUGCCCUUUGACCCCUUGACCCUCGGCCUAUCUUCGCGACCCGUGGCUCGAUUCGUUUUUUGUUGUUCCUCUGGGAUCGUGUGCAAGGUAAGCACGCACUAAUUAGCAAUUCCUGAGCACCAUUGGAUUGAGCGCCUGUUGUGGGCAGUGAUUGGGGCAGUUUCUCUUUCCCCUCUCCUCCCCCCCCCCCCCCCCCCCCCCCCCCCCCAUUUGAAAACUGGACGGAAUGCGCAGAUCUAGAGAGCAUCACCCAGAGCAAAUCGUCUAAGUUGAAUCGAGGCGGAUUUGGGGGUCGGUGUAAAGAGAAAAAGUUACUGGGCAUUAACGCUUGCCCCAGAAGGGGAGCGGGGCAGCCUCUCUCCGCCUGGAAGGCUUCCUCGGUCGUUUUACAGAUGUUGAAACUGAGGCACAGGACCAUCAUGUGACUUGCUUGCCCAAGGUUACAUACAGGUGAUGCCAACGAUGGGAUAGACUCCCGACUCUAGAACCAGCGCCGUUUUUCUUAAUAUAUUGGCGAGAGUUCUCCGGUUUGGUUUCUGCCAUCCAUUAGGUCCCUUCCAGAAACUUCAAAGACUUCCUAUGAACUCCAGAGUAAAAUUACAUUCUCCCCAAACAUUUUACCCCCUUUACGACCCUUCCGAACUUUCUAGUUCUUAUACUUUAAGUCUUACUCCUGACAGGCUGAUCCGGGCACUGAGGAAGACUGCAGUGGAGCCCCCCCAAGCCCCAGAAUGCUCUCCUUUCUCACCUCUCCUUGGGCAAUCCCUCCCCGCCAAACUCCCUCCCUCCUUCCCUCCCCUCCGUUUCCUAAAGCAAUCGGCUACUUUUCCUUAACUUUUCCUGACUCUACCUUCCCACAUCUUUAUUUGGUACAUAGAGAGUGCCCCAAAGUUUGGUUGUGGUUUUAAUUUUAAAAUUAAAACUGCACCCAGACUUUUGGGACACCUUAUGUUUGACAGGUACAGGUCAUGUCACUUUGGGCAAGUCCCUUAUCCUGCUCUAGGUAGUGCCCUUUGUUUGGCUCAUACCAGGGCUGGUCUGCAUUGAGACCAGGGGUUGUCUCCCAUUUUCCUUGUGUUGUGUUCCAAUGCUCAGUUCCUAAAAGUUGGUUUGUUUGGUGAAUUGCUCUUUCCAAUAAGUUUGGGAUUGAUUGGAAUGAAGGAAAAGAAGGAGCAUUUAUAAAACGACUUAGAUAUACCAGGCACUAAAUGCUUUAUAGAUGUUAGUUCAUGCAGUCCUCCCAACAACCUUGCAAACUAGGUACUAUUAGGAUCUCCAUUUUACAAUUGAGGAAACUGAGGCAAACAGGGUUACGUGCCCCAGGGUGAGGCUGGAUUUGAACUCUUGCGCCUUGGGAACUUCAGAAGGUGCCCCAUCCUGGGUUGGUGUUUUCUGUCUAAACUUGUCAGUUCUUUAAGAUCAGGGCACUUGCUUAUGCUUUGCACUGGGGGAUGGGAGGCACUGUAAUGUGUCUGUGGUCACUUUCCAUCGCCAGAGGAUGGCCAGAGGUGAGUUUCUUCCUCUCUAAAUUGAGAAGCUUCAGGCUCUUCUAGUUUAGGAGUGCCAUUACCCCAAAUCUUCACUUCCUCUCCUGUGGAUUGUAGGCGUAAUUGCCAAAGUCAUCUAUCUAGAGUUUCCUGCUCGAAUAAUGAUAAAAAUUUGGCAAAAGUUUACGCUCACCUACAGUAUGUUCCCUCCCAUAUUUGACUGCUGAUUCGGCAACCUUGUAAAUUAACUUCUCUUGGCAUUAUUAUCCCGUUUUAUCACCUUUGCAGGGUGGUGAAAUGGCUUGUUUUUAAUCACAUCACAUAAUCCUCUUGACAAAUUCAGAGAUUUUUUUCCACUAUAUCCUUCCGGAUUCACCCCAUAUCCUGCUGUCAGGCUAUCUGCCCAUGACCCCUUCUUUCCUAGGCUAUCCAUUCCCCUGAGUGGUGAUUAUCUUAACUCUCAUUCUAAUUGGUGAUGGUGGUUGUCGUUAGAUUUCCAAGAGGAUCAUGACAUCAGGGAGGUGAUGCCAUGACAUGCAAGUGAGUUGGAUUUAAAUGAGGAAGGGCUGUGCUUCAUUUCCUACUCCCCAGAGCCCUCUGGGUACAGUGGCCAGAUAUAAUAGAUCAGUUCGACUGGAGGUGGCCCUGGAUGCAGUGGGAGACCCUGGCCUUUUUAAGCAAGGACUUUAACAGGUCUCAGCUUGACUGAGGCAAUGCCCAUUCAGUGAUUAAAGUUAGUUAAGAAAGGAGGCAGAGAUAUGGAAGAUAUGGUUAAAGCCAAUGAUGUGGAUGAAGAAUCAGAGAAAGAUUCCCAAGGAAUGGUCAGAUAGGUUGGAGGUGAAUCAGUAGACAAAAUUGUCAAGAAAACAGAGCAUAUUCAAAAAGAGAAGGCAAUCAACAGUGUCAACUAUCUGUUCACAGAAGGUGCUCAUUUGUUGUCUUGGUUAACUGGUACAGUUAACUUCUCUUUACCUGUAGUCUUGGUCUUGGAAGUGGGCACCCAACACCCAGGGAUCUGUGAUCAGCGUAUUAUAGGAGUGGAAGUAAACUGUCAGGAUUGUCUUCCACAUAAAGUCCAAGGCACUACCAAGCCUUCUCUGUGCUAUGUCUGCUCCUUGAGGCACUAGUAAUCUCAACUCAGAAAUACCACUGGGGAAUAAUAAUAAUAACUUUUUAUUUUUCAAAAUACAUGCAAAGAUAGUUUUUAACUUUCAUCUUUGCAAAACUUCGUGUUCAGAUUUUUCUCCCACUCUCUUCCUCUAGACAGCAAGUAAUCCAGUAUAGGUUAAACAUGUGUAAUUCCUCUAAAUAUAUUUCCAAUUUGUUAUGCUGUGUGAGAAAAAUCAUAUCAAAAGGCAAAAAAUAAAUAAAUAAAUAAAUAACAUGAGAAAGAAAAACAAACAAUAACAACAAAGGUGAAAAUACUAUAUUUUAUCCAUACUCGGUCCCCACAGUCCUACCCCUGGAUGUUGAUGGCUCUCUCCAUCACAAUCUGUACAAACUGGCCUAAAUCACCUCAUUACUGAAAAGACCACAAUUGAUCAUCACACAAUCUUGUUGCUGUGUACAAUGUUCUCUUGGUUCUGCUCACUUCAUUCAGCAUCAGUGCAUGUAAGUCUCUCCAGGCUUUUCUGAAAUCAGUCUGCUCCUUGUCGUCUUUUCUUAUAGAACAAUUAAAAAAUGACAGUCUUAAUAGGAACAGAAUAUAUUCUAGUUUUCAAAACUAAUUCCUAACUUAGGGAUGGAAUUGAGAACUGCUUAUUCCUCUCCCUUUCUCUCUUUGGUGCCCUCAGAGAGGGGAGCACAGAAGACAAAGAUUUCUGAAAUGCAUCAGCACAAGGAUGUCCGAUGUUCCAGCAGGCAAACCCUGGAGGAAAACCAAGUGUGAUCCUGCCUUGACUCAUGCACCUGCAUUUUUUCAGUAUGUGCUGGCAGUGACUGUCUAUUCUCAGGGCAAGAAACGGAUUUUAACCAACCUGAAUUAUGAGCCUACUAUGUGUCACUAUGUAUUGGACUGUAGGGGACACAACAAAUUUGGCUACAGCUUGGUGGCGUGAAUGGAGCAGAUGCUAGGUUCUCAUCUGUCUCAGAUGAUCAACAGCUGUGUAGGCUCUGGGCAGGUCACUUCUAUAGGCCUUAAUCUCUUCAUCUGUAAAAUGAGUGUCAGAUUCAAGAACCCCUUAAGGCCUGUCACAGACAGCUCUACAUAUUCCUGUGUACACACACAAGUUUGCCUAUAACACUUAACAGCUAGAGGAAAUCUACAGAGAAAGGUUUCUUCUAUCAUCAUCCUAGCUCUGAAGCAGGAAGAGGCUUUGGAAACCCAACUCCUGAAUUUGUCAGGUGAAUAAACUGAAGUUCAGAGAGCUUGUGACUCAGGAUUCGGAUGGGGCACUGGAGCUGAGCCUUGCAGGGAGUUCAGGCCAUGAAUUUAAAUUUCAGUGAUAGAAAAAACUAAAGGACUUUGAGAAUCCCUGACCUUGAUGACCUAGCCCAAGAAUCAGAGGACAGUUAAUCACUUUAUAGUCUAAAGCAAAAAGAGUUUGUGAAAGACCAGAUAAGCUACCUAGGUGACCUAAAAAGAGGAAUAACUGAAAUGAAAAUAACGAUAAAACAUCUCUUGAGGAAAACUUCACUUUCCCUCAGAUGGUUCUCAGUCCUAUAAAGUCAUUUCUGAAAGGCCACUUAAGGUGAUUCUGUCCACCAAAAAUGUUAUUUCUUAGAAAAUCCUUAUUGCUGUUUUGUUAUUAAAGUGACAUUUCUAAGGAAUAAGAAAUAGAGGGUAUGGUGCUAACUCCUGUCAGCCAGAGAAUUCACUUGCUCGAUAUGGUUUGGGGUGAGCUGAAAAACAGUCCCCCGCCCUCUUCCAAACACAAAAACCUAGACUGGCUUUGUUCUCCCUACAUCCCGGGGUACAGACAAAUUCUGAGAAGACUGCAUUGUUUACCAUUUCAGGGAACAGAUGAGUCUCUCUGUUGACGAUUUGGAAAUUGUUUAUUUUUUAAACGAAUCCUGUUUUUGAAAUCAACUAAGCAAAGCAGCAUAGCUUGGUAGUUAAGAGUUGGGUAGAGGGAGGCCUCGUGGAGCUAGCUGGUAGUGUUUGAGUUUAAAUCUAAAGUAACCUAAAAAUGAUCGGUUUAAAAAUGUUUUCAUAACUUUAAAAACACACCUACUGGGUGCCACGUGGCACUAUAGGUCCUAGAAUUACGACCUUCCCUGCUCUCUGGGGAGACAGAAUAAUACAUAAAUAAAAGCAGAAUUUGGGAGAAAGGAAAAGAAAUCUCUGAGAAAGGGAGGAAGUACUUUGGAAAACUUUUGAGUUGGAGGGGGCGGUCCUGGAAGAGAGUCAGGGUCAAGGUGAGGUGGGAGAACUCGGAGAUAUUUGGGGGAGACAGCAUGUGCUCUGAUGAGGAACAGCAUGGCCACCUUGGGACCUGGCCAGUGAGCCGAUUGGCCUAGAACACGAAGUGCAUAAAGGGAACUAAUGGUUGAUAAGAUGUAAAAGCCAAACCAAAUCGAGUUGGAGGACCUUGAAAGGCCAGAAAGGCUGGUUCUGCAGCCUCCCCUGGGACCUCAGGGUUCUGGUGAUGUGACCCCAGACUUUGAUGAAAGACAUUUCACUUGGAGCCCACCACACCACCACUUCUAGACUCUUCUGGCUGCUCUGGUCAAUGAUCUAACAACUAUAGCCCUUCUAGGGUGCCUUGAGGUUUUCGAAGUGCGUUGUUAUUUGGGCUUCACUGCAAUCCUGGUAGAUAGGUAGAAGUGAUUCCCAUUUGACAGAUGAGGAAGCAGAUUAAAAAGUUUACUCAACUCUCACAUCUGCCUUCCUAUGCUCC
rnacentral:lncRNA from 1 species